rnacentral:rRNA from 1 species
UCAGGAUGAACGCUAGCUACAGGCUUAACACAUGCAAGUCGAGGGGCAGCAUGGCUUAGCUUGCUAAGGCUGAUGGCGACCGGCGCACGGGUGAGUAACGCGUAUCCAACCUUCCCCAUAGUAGGGGAUAGCCGGCGAAAGUCGGAUUAAUACCCUAUGUAUUCGAUGCAGACAUCUAAGUUGAAUCAAAGGUUUACCGCUAUGGGAUGGGGAUGCGUCUGAUUAGGUUGCAGGCGGGGUAACGGCCCACCUGGCCUACGAUCAGUAGGGGUUCUGAGAGGAAGGUCCCCCACAUUGGAACUGAGACACGGUCCAAACUCCUACGGGAGGCAGCAGUGAGGAAUAUUGGUCAAUGGGCGAGAGCCUGAACCAGCCAAGUAGCGUGCCAGGAUGACGGCCCUAUGGGUUGUAAACUGCUUUUAUGCGGGGAUAAAGUGAGGGACGUGUCCCUUUUUGUAGGUACCGCAUGAAUAAGGACCGGCUAAUUCCGUGCCAGCAGCAGC